rnacentral:rRNA from 1 species
CAGUCGCCGCGGUAAUACGAAGGGUGCAAGCGUUAAUCGGAAUUACUGGGCGUAAAGCGUGCGUAGGCGGUGAGUUAAGUCUGCUGUGAAAUCCCCGGGCUCAACCUGGGAAUGGCAGUGGAUACUGGCUCGCUAGAGUGUGUCAGAGGAUGGUGGAAUUCCCGGUGUAGCGGUGAAAUGCGUAGAGAUCGGGAGGAACACCAGUGGCGAAGGCGGCCAUCUGGGACAACACUGACGCUGAGGCACGAAAGCGUGGGGAGCAAACAGGAUUAGAUACCCCAGUAGUCCCUGUCUCUUAUAC